UACGGAGGGUGCAAGCGUUAUCCGGAUUCACUGGGUUUAAAGGGUGCGUAGGUGGAAAUGUAAGUCAGUGGUGAAAUCUCCGUGCUUAACAUGGAAACUGCCAUUGAUACUAUGUUUCUUGAAUUUUCUGGAGGUCAGCGGAAUAUGUCAUGUAGCGGUGAAAUGCUUAGAUAUGACAUAGAACACCAGUUGCGAAGGCAGCUGACUACAGGGAUAUUGACAUUGAGGCACGAAAGCGUGGGGAGCAAACAGG
rnacentral:rRNA from 1 species